GAGACAUAAUGUCAUAUAUAAUACCACUAUUCAAUAUAUAUAACUUAAAAGAAUAAUAAUGAACGGGUAAGAUCAAAAUUGACAAGAAGCUAUGUAAAAAUAAAAUUCAAAAUCGACAACAAACACUGUAUAUCAUCAUAAACUUUCCUGUUACUGAAAACAUUUGCAAAAGUCAAUGAACAAGGACAAAAACUAAUAUCAAUUUAAAGAUGACAAAAAAGGAAGCAUCCUACCUCAAACAAAUGUAAUCAAUGGUUAGUUAGUAUAAAAAACAAUAAAAUAAGAAAAAGAUACCCCACAAUAAAACAACACAGUGAAAAAUAUAACAUCUCCAUCAGAGACAAUAAUAAUAGUCAACAAAAAUGAAAUGAAACACUUGAAAAAUUAAAGAAAUCAUUAAAAAAAUAUCAGAGUGCGACCAGAUCUGUGCAAAAUAAGAAUAGUAAUAAUAUAAAAUCAAAAUAUCUGGUCAGCCGAAGAAGAGAGGAACGGUGGCAAAACAAAGAAAUGGUGGGGUGAAAGAGAGGCAGCAACCGAGUGUUCCGCUGGUGGCGAUGGAUUUGGCUGCUUCACCAGCCAAAAAAAAAGUUGUAAAGAGCCGGAGAAGGUGAUAGUGGCUGGACUGGUUUGCUCGCCGACAGCUAGUUGGUGAUUGCUUUGGCGUUCGUUUCCACAGGCGGCGGCAGAUGAGGUGGUGGUCGACGACUGUUGGUUUUGUCUUGGGUUUGAGAGAGAGAUAGACGGAGGGAGAGUGAAGGAAGGCGCCAGAGGAGUGGAUAAAUGGAGAGGGGUUGGACGUUGGUGGUGAUGUGGUGGUUUGCCCACGGAAAGUUCGCCGGCCAUGAUUGUUGGCGACAGUAAUGUGAGUUUUUGAGAGAGAGAAAAAUUAUAAAUCUAAUGAUUUAUGUGUGCAUGUGUUAGUGUGUUUAAGUGCGUGUAUUGUGUAUUUAAGGAGAAAAAUAUGUGUGUGGUGAAGAAUAUGUCUGUGUAGUGAAAGAAUGUAUGUGUUUUUUUUUAAACAAAUGUAUGAAUGUAUUUGUGUAUGUAAAAAUUCAUCCUUCCGUUUCUAUUUAUAAUAAAAUUGGACACUUCUUGUUAUCCAAAGGAUAAAAGGGUGUUACCUUUUUUCAUAAUAGAACACCAUUCUUUAAGUCAUAGUUCAAAUAAUAGUGUCAUUGUGUGGUCAUUAUCAGAUGUGAUGAGAUAUUAUUGCGUGAUCGUUGUCAAAUGUGACAAGACAUCAAAUUAUUAUACUGUGUAUUAAAAUAACUAAUCUGACUCAGAGGGUUGUAAUAAAUGUACAAUAUGUAGGUACUGAUAUGUAAUUAUAGAAAAUGUAAAGAAUAUUGAAAGUAUUGAAAAAUGUAAUUAGUUUGGAAGAAAUAUAAUGUCAUCUCAUGUACGUAUGUAAAUGAUUGUGAAAAUGUUAAAUACGAUAAUGAAUUGAUAAAAGUUUUAAUAUAAGGAGAGUUAUUAAUAAAUUAUGAAAAAUAAAAAACUAUGAUAAUAAAUUGAUAAAAUCAUAAAGUAAGGAUGAUUAUCAAUAAUUUGUUAACAAUUGUAAAAAAAAAAAUGUGAAAAUUAUAUUCCAUGCCCUUUAUCGAUCAGGAAGCCUGAAGACGUUAUUUAGUUCAGUGUAUGUAUGCAUGUAUGUAUGUAUAUAUGCAUGCAUAUAUGUGUAUGUAUGCAUGUAUGUAUGUAAAUGCAUAUGCAUAUCAAUGUUCAGAGGACAUUUCGUGAUGAACUCACAAGUUCUUUGUCCACCUUUUUUUGUUGCCUUCGAUACGAACUCUUUGGAACAGAGGCAUCAUUUGAAUCUAUGUUGCACUUAAAUCAAAAUACACAAUAUUCUUGACCAAAAUGCACAACCAUUGGUACACUAGAAAAAAAUUCAAAAAAUAAUUAAUUUACUAUAGAACUUUUAAAAUAAAAAAUAAUUUUUAAUAAGGAGACAAGUAUUUUAAGAUGCUGAGAGCAAUUCGUAUAAAGAUUGAGAAGUAUCUCACUUUAAUAAAAUGUAUGAAUAUAUUUCUUGAUAGUUUAAAAUAAAAAACUUCAAAGGAGUAAAUUGUAACCAAUUUUGUGAUGUGUUAAUCCAAAUAGCAUGUUAAGCGAAUAAUAUUACCAUCAAAGUUAGACUUCAAAGCAAAUGAUGAAUUGAAUAAGGGAAAAACCAUCAUUUCCACCCUAAAUUAUAACUGAAAAGUCGAAGUCACAUCUAAAUUAUACUAAUGACCUAUUACAUACCUAAACUAUAAAAAAGUGAAACUAUUUACACCCUGUCAGGCUAUCACCACUUGCAUGUGGUGUAGUGUUUUACACGCGCUGCCACGUCAGUAUCACGUCAGUAAAAAGUAUCACUUUUUUAGAGUUAAGGUGUGUAAUAGGUCAUUUAUAUAGUUUAGGUGUGGAUUCGACUUUUCGACUAUAGUUUGGGGUGGAAAUGAUGUCUUUUCCCUUAAUGUUUUUAGCCGUUAACUUUUGUUAUUUAAUAGGCUGGACGCGCCUAAAAUAAGUGUAACACACGCGCCUUAGAAUGGGGGUCGCGGGGAGGUAAUAAUAUCACUUUUAUAUAGUUAAGGUGUGUAAUAGGUCACUUAUAUAAUUUAGGUGUGGCUUAGACUUUUCUUGUAUAGUAUGGGGUGAAAAUGAUGCCUUUUCCCAUUGAAUAAUUAUGAAAAAUAGUAAGCGUUACAUGUUAUUCAUGUAUGUAAAAAGAAAAGGAAAAGAAAAAAUAAAAUAAAAAUAACAUAAAACCCAACCUUAUUUGAAUUAUUUACACUCUCUCACUUUCUUAAUUACUUUAUUCUCACUCCCAAUUCAUUUACAUAAUAAGGAUGACAUAUACACAGCAAGUAUGACAAGACCGAUAUAUACAUAAUAAAGCUGAUUCAUAUAUAUAACAUGCCCGACAUAUACAUAGAAAGCUAUGUAUAUAUAUUUUAAGAGAAAAAUGAAAUUUUUGUAAUAUUUUUAGAGAUAUGAGAUUUUUUUGUAAUAAGUAAAAUUUAAGUUGUGGGUUGAUGUAAUUUUUAGAAAAAUAAAUACUUUUGUGGCAAGUUUUGUUUUUCAUCAAAAGCAACUAAAAUAUUUUGCACUUUAAUACAAUUGCUUCUAAUAUUUCUGAAUAAGGGAAACAUCGAUGUCCAUGUCGGUGCAAUGUCAUCCCAACUACAUACACAAACAACACAUCAUCUACAUAAACUCACAUAUGUAGGAAAAAUAUUAAUUUGAUAAAAUCAUGUGCAAAAUAGAUGGAUUAGCUAGCUAACUCACAUAUGUAGGAAAAAUAUUAAUUUGAUAAAAUCAUGUGCAAAAUAGAUGGAUUAGCUAGCUAGAUAAUAGUCAUUAAAAAUACAUUCACUAAAUUAAAAAUGAUUUUUUUACUAGUAUGUGGAGUAAAAAUUAACUGACACUCAUGAAAACAUAUCCACUUAGGUAAAUGUUAGACAUAAAUUUUCUAUAUAACAGAAGAAGUGGUUUCAACAUAUCACUUAUUUGAUAUUAAAUUAAAAAAUAAAGGUAUUAAGGUCUUUAAAAAAAAUUGUAAGCUUUUAUUGAAAAAAUUUUGUGCUUCUUUUUGUGGACCUUUCAAAAAUUUUAAAACAAAAUCUACUCUUUUGUCAUUAAUUACAAAAAAUGCCAUUUAAAAAAUUUACAUAGAUGCCAUUAUGUGUGGCUUUUAGCCUUGCAUUCAUUUUCACAUGUGGGCCCUCAUCUAUCAUCUAUUUUUCAUAAAAAUUGUAUUUCUCAUUGUAUUUAGGAUGAAUGUGGGUACCUACAUGCUACUUUUAUUUAGGUUAUAUAAUAUAAAAUUAUUUCAAAUAUAUUAUGUUUAAAUAAAUUUAUUAAUAACAUAAUAAUUUAUUAUAAUACUUAAUAUGAUAAAUUUAAUUAAAUACAUUUUAUUCCUUCUUUACAUUUCAUAUCAAACAUAUAAUUUUCUUUCUUCCUUAUUUGUUACAUGAAAUACAAGUUUGUGUAAUUUAUAUUUUUAAUGUAUAAUUAAUAAAAUAAAUUUUUAAUAAAUAUUUUUUUUAGAUUUGUGCCAAGUCAAUAUAUACCAACAAAAAGAAAUUAAAGAAAAAUACUGAACAAGAUUUUACUUAUAUAAGGUUAAACAUAAUUUGUUACUAAACAAUAAUGAUAAUUAGUUAUUUUUAUAUAUGCAAAUCAUAUUAUCCGUAUUGGAUUAAGUAUACUAUUCCUACGAGUUAAUAUUUUUUUAAUUAAAACUUUGAACAUUAAUUACUUGUUGGAUUGUAGUUAUUUCAACCACCUCAAACUCAAACCAAGAGUUUUAAUAUUUUAUUUUUAAAAAAACUUAAUAUAUAAAAUGUAUUUUACUCAUAUAACUUAUUUGAUUCAUUUGAUAUUUUCUCGAUUUAUCUAAAACCUACCGAAUUAUGAUUUUAACUAAAUAAACCUAAUAAUUAGUGUUCCUUUGAUUUUUAAAAUAUCACCAACAUUCCUAUAUCACCCUUGAUUAAUUAUUAUUAUAAUUCAUUUAUAUAUUUAAAAAUUAAUAAUAUUUAAUUAAAAAUAAAAUAAACAGUUAUGACAUGUCUGCUUUAAUCGUAAUUUUACUAUAUAACCUUUAAUUAAUUAUUAUAAAUCAUUUAUAUAUUGAACAGUUAAUAAUAUCCAAUCCGUAAUUUUACUAUACCACCUCCAAUUAAUUAUUAUAAGUCAUUUAUGUAUUAAAAAAUUAGUACACCCUUCGUUUAAAAAAGAAUGACCUACUUUUUUUAGUCUGUUUAAAAAAAUGACCUCCUUUUUUUUUUGACAAUACUUUAAUUUCAACUUUCCACAUGACAUGUUUAAAACCACAAGAUUAAAGAGCAUAUUGGUACACAUUUGAUUCAACUUUAAUUUAAGACCACAUGAUUCAAAAGUUUUCUUUAUUUUCUUAAACUUUGUAAGGAGUAAUAUUUAAUUAAAAUAUAAAAUAAACAUUGAUGACAUAUCUAUUUUUGCUGCUUCAGUCAUAAUUUUACUAUAUCAUUCCUAAGUAAUUAUUACAAGUCAUUUAUGUAUUAAAAAAUUAAUAAUAUUUAAGUAAAAAAGUAAAAUACACAUCUAUGACAUGUCUGCUUCAGUUGCUUCCACCAUAGUUUUACUAAAUAUCACCCCUAAUUAAUUAUUAUAAGUUAUUUAAGUAUUCAUAAAUUAAUAAUAUUUAAUAAAAAGGUAAAAUAGAUAUAAAAAUGACAAAUUAACUCUUGAUGUUUUAAAUUAAUUUGACAUCUUAUAUGAGAUCCACUUAAAUUUUUUCACGGAUAUUUUUAUAAUAGUUUUGCUAUGUCAUUUCUGAUUAAUCGUUGUAAUUUAUUUACGACAUUUAUGCAUCGCUGCUCAAUCGUGAUUUUAUUAUAUCACCCCUGAUUAAUUAUUAUGGUCAAAUAAGCAUUGUGCCAUUUAAAUUUAAAUAAAAGAAAUAUUAUAAAGUAUCAUAACUAAAAAUUUAAAUUAUUUAAAAAAUAUAAUUGGCUAUCAACUACAAAAAACUCUGGACAAAGAGAGUAACAUAUAUUAUUUAUAAAAAGUAUUAUAAAUUACAAUAGUUAACAACUAAAAUAUCUAAAAAUAAUUUAAUUUGUUAUAUAUUUUAAAAAACUAAGUAAAAAUACGAUAAAUCACAAUAAUCAACAACUUAAAAAUUUUUAAAAUAUAAAAUAUUUGGUUGACUCUCGAAAUUAUAAUAGUGCCACUUAAAUUGGAACAGAAGAAAAGUUUUAUAAAUCACAAUAAUUAAAAAAUUAAAUUAUUUUUAAAAUAUAAUUGACUAUCACUUUCACAAAAGUUUGGACAAGAAAAGUAAUGUAUAUUAUUUGAAAAUUAAAUAAAAAAUAUUAUAAAUUACAAUAGUUAACAACUCAAAUUAUCUAACUACAUAUUAAAAGUAUGAUUGAUUAUCUAAAUUAUAUUUGUUUCACAUAAAUUGAGACAAAUAUAACAUAUAUUGAACCCGUGCUAAAUAUUGAAUGAAUCUUAGAAUGUAUACGCAAUUUUUUUUCAAAAAAAUCUUUAUUUAAAUAUAUCAAGAUUGAAAAGACCAAUUCUAAUACAACACAUCAAAUAGUGUAUAAGAAAUAAUAUUAGCAUAACUACUACCAGCAUUACUAAUACAAGCAUUAUUAAUGCUAACAUUACUAAUACAUUCUAUUCAAAAUUAUUUUUAUACACUCUAACAAAUGACUCUUACGUUUCAAUGAAAGAAACAUAUAUAAAAGCAAAGUUCGAUAAAACAUUUAUAGAAGUAUGUUUAUCGUGUUCUCAAAGUGAAAUAACUUAAAUUAAUAUGACAGAUUGUAACUUAUAGUUUUUUUUUUUUUUAUAAUUUUCAAAAUAUUUAAAAUUCAAAUUUAAAAUAUUAAUUUGAUUUAUCUUUAAAGAACAAGUUAACAAAUAAAAGAAAAGGAGAAAUGAAAGCAAAUGAUGUUUAUGUCGGUUUAGUAGGGAAGACAUUGCAAUUCUGGGCUAUUACUUGCAAACACAUGUGAUAUAAUAUGCAAUGACUAGAUAAUCCUUUAUCCUUUUCAACAAUUAUUAUCUAUUUUAUACAAUAGAUGUCAAGUCUUAUGUAUCAAUUUUAAUCUCAUAUUUUAUACUUAAUGUAUCAAAUUUCAGUUAUAUGGUUAAAGAUCUGAACUUCAAAAUGCAUUGAAUUUUGUUAUUUAUAUGAGUAAGUCAUACAUAAUUAUCUUCUGAAAUAAUUUGGCUCCUUGAAAAAUAACUAUCAAGUAGUUAAUAUGUUUUGUGUAUUCAUGUUUUAUAAUUCAUAUUGAUAUCAAUCUAACUUAUCGUACAUAAUCAAAAUAUCUUAAUGUUGGGCCCGUGCUGACACGGGCCAUGCUAUUCUAGUAUUACUAAUAUAUAAGUUAGAUUUAAAGAAUUCAUAGUAGUUUAUUUUUUAGUUUGAAAUUUAUGAUGUACUCAAAUAAGACUCACAAAGCAGUCAAGCAUAUGUUCAAAUACAAAUUAAGAUGCACAUAUGGUGUGAAUCUUAGUAGAUCAUAUGUGUGAUAAUUUAACAUAUAAGUUCAUUAAAUAGAAUUUUGGCCAAACACAUCGAGAGGCCCCUCAACUCGGCACCAUCUUUUACUUUGACAUGACGCCUUAAGUAGAUGUUGUUCACUUUUGGCACCUCAAGUAGCAUACACGUGUGUUAUUUUGGCAUUUUGUUGAGUCAUCAUGGGACGUGUAACACACACAUUUUAAGUGUGUUUCAAGGGUAUUUUCAUAAUUUUUUCAUCUUUCUUCUCUUUCUUCUCUUUCUUUCUCACUCUUUCAAUCCAUUUUCCACCAUUUUUUUCUUUUCUUAAUACAUCCAUAUCCCUUCACAACAUGAUGAGUUCCAUAGCAUUGUUGAUAUCAAUAAAGAGGCAUAAAAAUUAGCUGGUCAAAAUCAGAGGGCACAACAACAGCAAAAAGAUCUGCAGAAAUCAGCUGAGUAAGAUCAAUGGCAAGUCCAAAGAAAAAGAAGGAGAAAAAACAAUUAUCAACAGCAACAACACAACCAAAAUCAAAGGGAGCAGGUGCAACAACAAGUUUAUAGAACAAGGUCUCCACAGUAUACCAAUGCAAUAGUACAAAAGAAUCAGCAACAAUAACAAACAGGUAUGAUUUUUCAUUAAACUGAAAGUAAUCUCCAAAAUUGUAAUGUUGAUUUUGGAGUCCAGAAUCGACAACUCCAACCCCAUAAUUUUGUUUUUAAUACUGGUAAUCCAAUACCCCAAAAUCCUAACAAGAAAGAUACUGCUCAAGCUCCUCCAAUUCUCAACAAGGCAAAGACACAAUAAAAUCACUAAACAUGAGAAGAGGGAUACCAUACAAGGCAAUAAGCAAGAUACUUUACCAUCUCUUAAUUUCAUCUCUUAAUUUCUUUUCCUUCACAGUGUAAUUUGUUACCUUAUGCACUAAUUUGAUAAAAAAUUAUUAUCAAUUUAGACGGAGGAUGAAAAAUUAUUGUCUAAUUAUUAUCAAUUUGGUCAGACUAUUGCACUAGAAUUUGGGGUUGACAACCAAAUUGCUACACUUAUCAAUUUUUUGUCAAGUUUUUGUGAAUUUAAUAUCGAUUUGGUUGGAUUGUUACAGCAGUGGGAGGUAGGGGUUUAUGAAUUGGAGAAGAUAAUAUGGAGGGGGUGGGUAGGUGAGGGUAGAGGAGGGUGGGGUGGCGGCAAAAGAUUUAUGGGUGGGGUGGAAGUGGGUGGAAAAAUAUAAUUUGAGGGUGAGAGUGGCGAUAAAUGAUUUGGGGUUGGGUUGGGUUGAGGAAGAUGAUAUGGGAUGGGGUGGUUAGAAAGAUGAUAUAAGGUGGGGGUGGAGUUAUUAAUAUUUUUUAUUUAAAUUAAUUAUAUAAAAAUUAUUUUUAUAAAAAUGACAAAUGUCCUUUUAUAAUUGGUCCCUUUCCACGUCAUCAGCGCGUGUAAUACACGCACAUGGUAUUUUUUUGCCGAUUCAGUAAAAAGUACCAAAAUAACACCUGUAUAUUCUACUUGAGGUGCCAAAAGUGAAGAACAUCCAAUUUAGGUGCCAAAGUGAAAGAUGGUGCCAAGUUUAGGGGCCUGUCUAUGUGUUUGACCUAGAAAUUUCUACUAUUUCAUCAAAGGCAAUUGACAUGAACAUAUUUUUAUGUCAUAUUAUUUUCUUUUAGAUAUACCUGUUGUCAUAUGACAGUUAUCCUAAUAUAGUGUAAGUAAUUAUUAUACAGCUUAAAUUUCAUAUCUUUUCUACUUAAUUAACUUAGAUAAAUGUAAACUUAAUCUAAGUGUAAUUAGUUAGAAUUAUGUGAUUUUUUGAAAGAUUUUAUGAAUAGCCUACAAACUUAGCGAUCUGAUCCCUAUCUAGUGUAUGUAAUGAUAAAUGAGAAUAAUUGAAAAUACAACAUAAAGAAAAUAAUACACACGCAAUAUUUACAUGAAAAUCUCCUUACUCUAGGGAGUAAAAUCACGAUAUACCACGUAGGAUGUCUAACCACUUCACUAUCUUCAAGCAACUUGAAUACAUACUCUGUAGUUCAAGGAUUAAUCUCUUAAUCCCUAUAACUUGUAAUAGCUCUAUUACAAGAAUCCACAAUAAUAACUCUAUUUUUAACACUAAAACAACUAACUCUGACUGAAUCAAUCACUGGCUAGCUCUAGCCUGAAAUGUCAACUAACUCUAUAUGACUCAACUUUCAUGAAUAGAACAACAUUGAGAAACCUAUAAUCUAAGAUUAGAGCCGUAGAUUAACUGUUUACAAAUCCCUGAACAAAGACUCAAAUACAACACAAACUUGAGAUAAAAACAACAACUGAGCAGGUCCCUAUUGUAAGUGAGGCUUUGCUUAAAAGAUUUGCUUCAAGAGAGAUUGAGUGUUCCUUGCAUAUUAGAUCUUAGGUUUUAUUGUUGUAACAUGUUGAAUAUAUAUGAUACAAGAAACCUAGGACUUUUGAUUGUUUGGAGCAAAAAGGUGCCACAGCUUUGCCACCAACUUUCUGCCACCUGGUACUAUUUCCUACUGUAAUUGUAAUGACCUUAUUUUUGGUGAUUUAUGUGAAAUAUUUAUUUCUGUGAUUUGAUAUUUUUACCGCUCCUUGUGUUUAUAUUUUAGUUUCUGGGAUGUAAGAAUAAUUGGCAUAGUUUUUGAUGUAUUUCAGUAUGAGUUGUGCGAGAUUGUGGUAUUUAAUGGUCUUAAAGGUUUACCAAUUGGCUUUGGUCCAAAUAUUUUGAUCUAUGCCUCUUAUGGCAAAGCGGACUGCUUCAGUAGAUUUGAAAGGUCAAUUUUUAGUUGGUAUCAUUAUUGGUGUGGCUUUACGGCUUUUAUAUCUCAUUUUGAUCCUUGGUUCCAAAAAUUAUGAAAUUAGAUUUUGGGGGUCAAUUCAAUGAAAAUGAUGGCUUUUUGAAAAUUCGAUAUCGCUAUUGAGUUUGGAGUGUUGAAUUUGAUAGGGUAGCAUAGUUCAUUUGCAUUCUCGAGAUUCCAGAGAAAUCUUGAGGGGUUCACGGAAACUUGGAAUUCUCCAAGUCUCCAUCUGAUGCACCCGUUUAAGCGAUAUUUUUGUCGCUAAAGUGACCAGCUUAGCCACCGAGUUGUAGCUUACAUGACUUCUGUAUUGCGUACCAAAUCUUUGCUUAAGCGACAACAGGAUCACUUGUGCGACACCAACCGAUAGGUAAAAUAUCACGUAGGCAACACCUAGUCUCUUAAGCAACCCGGUGAUCGGUUAAGCAAUGCCUGGGUCAUUUAUAUUCUUUACUUUCACAAUUUUUGCAUUAUUUUUUGGGACUUAGAGAUUGGGGUUCGAGUUUUUUAGCUUUUUUUUCAUUGCUAAGUUUGAGUAAGACCCAAAUGUCCCAUUUCAACUACUUCUCUUUGAUUUGAUCAUUAACAUCUUGUUAAAUACGAAUUUAAAGGUGAAAUUGGGAAUUUUGGCCUUGAAGGCCCAAACUUCCCUUUCUUCGAAUCAAGCCCCAAUUUUAUUUCGUCUUUACUUAGAUCUUCUCCUAUGAGUUUAUUUCAUCUUGGACAAUAUUUUCUUGGUAAAAAUUUUUGAUUUUAAUCUUCUUUUUUGAAAACCCGUUUUGGGGGUCCGUUUUGACCCCGACUCGAAAGUGGCCAACAUGGGUAUCGUUUUUUUUUAAAUGAGUAGAUUCUGUAUUUGUAUGUUUUUGUUGAUUUCAGGUUUGUUCGGGAGGGAAAUCUCUAGAUUGAAGUCUCUUUAGAUCAAUUUUCGGCAUUCGGGGUAGGUUAUGGCUUAACUUCCUUCAGACUGGGUUGGGUAGCUAAUAAUAAUGUAAAAGCAUGCUAUGGGUAUGAAGUUGUAUCACGGAAAAUUUGUUAGGUGAUUUAUGUGUCCGUGUGGGAGCCUAUGUGGCUAAUAUUUGGUGAUCUUGGGACAUUAUUUGAUAUAUGUGACCAUGUGGGGUUUUAUAUAAAGCUAUAGCCUGGUAUUGAUAUAUAUGUUUGGUUUUAUUCUUAUUGGUGGGAAAAAAUCGUGAUUUUGGGAUUUAUGUGGUAUAUAUGAUGUUGUGAGAACCUGGACUUGUAUUUGGUAUACGUGUAUAUUUGUUCUUUUUUUCCUUACCUGUAUUUAUUAUAUGUCUAUAUAGUAGAAAUUUUAGUGGAGACUGUGUGGUCUACCGUUUGGUACAUUUUCUGAUUGCAGGUGACGUACCCAUGGUUUGUGUUUAUAUGCUUUAUUUUUUACUUUACUCAGUCGGCUUAUGACACCUACUGAGUAUAAGAGGAUGUUCUCAUCCCUACUGCACCCUUUUGGUGUAGAUCCAGGUACGAGCCGCAACACGGAUAGCUGAUUCAGGUGGCAUUUGGAGUAUAUUUGAGGUAGAGGACGUCUUAUGCUUCAAGAGUUGUUCUACUACCUCUUCCUAUCUAUUUCAUGUCUUAUUUAGUAUUCUGAGACAAAUUUUGAUCCUUUCUGGACUAUUAUUGUACCUAAACCUUUGAAAUGUAUUUAGUAGUUCUUACAUUGUGACACUAGGUUUUGGAUAUUGUAUGGUAUCUUUACUAUGUAUUUCCACUUUUUACUAUAUAUGUGUGGUUUGAUUUUAUUCUACGAGUAUUGCCUUGGAUUUUGGCGUUAAUUUUUCUUAUUUCAUGUAAGGGUGAUGAGCUUACUUGUCAAGGCUUGCCGCGAUAAGUGCCAUCAUGACCCUUGGUUUUUAGGUCGCGACAAAUUGAACCCAGAUCCAGGUUCAUUGGUCUUAAUAAUGUAAGAAUGAGGUGUCUACUAGAGUCUCUCGGAUCGAUACGUAGACGCCCGUAUCUAUAUUUAAGAGGCUAAAGAUGUCUUUAGAAGACUCUCUUUAUUUUAUUCCUUAUUAAGAAAAUCUUUCAUACAUUAUGUUAUAAGUUAUAUUUCAAUCUUUUCUAUGCAGAUGGUGAGGAUUAAAUCCAGUAAGGCUAGAGAUUCAGAUCCAUUAUCAGAGAAGAGAGCCAAGUCUAGAGAAUAAAUUAGGAGUCGUGGUCGGGCUCGACAUGGAGGACGGGUACAAAGAUUUUCCCCAUCCAGAUAUAGCAUGAGUGGGCUCUCUCUUGAGCUUUGAGAUGAGCAUAUUAGAGAUAUUGGUCCUACUCCGAUUCCACCGAGUUCUUUUACCUAAGUCUUGGAAGGGUUAUUGGUUCGCUUGUUGACCCGGUUGGAAGGUGCUCCUUUGAGUGCAUCUGGUGUUCCUCAUACUUCAAGUAUUGUACCUCUGUUUGAGCCAGACUCUACUUAUGGUGUUCCUUCUAUUAGGAGUAUGAAUCCUUUUGUUAUACCAAUAUCUGCUUAUAGUACUCCGUAUACCCCAAUUGCGGUUCCUCUUUCAGUGUUGAUAUCUGAGUAUGAUAUUCUAAAGUUAGUAGUUUAGCCUUAAUUUAUGAUACCUCCUUAGAUGGGUUCUCAUCCUUCCAAAUUUAUUGUGCCUCUUAUUGUUGCGAGAGUAGCUAUAUGUUAUGGGAAUUAGUAGAGGCUUGAGAGAUUUACUUAUUUGGGCCCUCCUAGGUUCAGUGGUGCUGUAGGCGAGGAUGCCUAUGAGUUCUUGAUGGAUUAUCGUGAGAAGUUGUAUAACUUUGGUUCUCUUGAGUCUCAUAGGGUUGCUUACACUUCUGACCAGUUGAGAGAUGCAUCCAGAGAUAGGUGAAGGUCAGUUUUGGCUACCGACCUCUUGGUUCUCUAGAGAUGACUUGGGAUCAGUUUAUAGAGGCAUUUUUAGAUAGAUUUGUGCCUUUCAGUUUGAGUGAUCAGAUGAGAGAUAUAACGCUCCGAAAUUGGGUCCUGAGACGUCACACGGUGCUUAGGGUCACAAGUGAUCCCAAGCUAACCCUUCUACUGGCAUAACUCAUAAGCAACUGACUAAAAUGCUUAAAUCUGUAUAAAAUAAGUGAAAACAUAAAACUGUUCUGAACUUGAUCAAUACAGAUUUGAAAUUUAUAAGAUUACAACUCUGCUUUUACAAAACAAAAUUGAAAUUGAAUACAUUAACUCUACUGACUGUUUAUGAAGCCUUUACUAGUACUGACUAUAGACAGCUAGGUCAUGACUCCCUACUAUCCUAACUCAAUACGACUAAAUAAAGAAAAUACAAUACUUCUUAAACUGUAAAAUUGACUUGAGACCUUGACCCAAAAGGACUUAUUACCUGCUGACUGGUAGCUGUGAACUGACUGAAUAUGGUGAAUACGCUAUAACUUGUACCUAUAUUAUGAGGAAAUGUAGCACAUAGACAAGUAUGUGGAUCAAUACUUUGGGAAUAUACUGAGUAAUAGGGGUGUAUGCAAUUUAAUAAUCAAUAUCAAAAUUCUUUAUUAAAAAUAGGCAUGCUGAUAGAAAUGACUCACAUAGCUAGAAUAAAUCUAAAAUCUAAAUCCCAUAAAUCAUGAAUAAUGAAACGUAUAGUGUAAAUCUCGUGAGUCAUUAUACUUAGUUUCUAAAUUCUGUAUUCUCCUCUCAUUCUCAAAACUUGUAAACUGAAGAAAUAUUAAACAAUAACUUUCAAAACUUAUACUUUUAUCUUGAGGAGAAUAGGAGACUUCUUUUGAAACUUAAAGAUUUUGACACUUGAGAAACUUAAAAAUCUUGGAAUCAUAGCUUUCAAAAUACAUAUACCUUUAUCUUAGAUAGAGUGGGGGACUACUUUGGGAGUUUCUUCUAACCGACAUAAACCAUGUGAGCCACAUGGAGUCCAACGUCUUACUCACGUUGGGGAGAGCUAUUCUACCCUUACCAUCGGAAUAGAACCUUAACUUUAACUUUAGUGAUCACAAUCUCGGCCUCGGGCCCACAAAUCUUAAUCCUACAGUGGCACAUAGUUCUAGGGUAUGAGACCUUGGAAUCUUACCUAACUCGGUGCUAAAUACUACUCCCAUACUUAGACUCAAAACUUCUAUGAAAUCCAGCUUAAAAUAACUCAAGGAUAUAUAAUGAAGACCAAAUUAUACUUCUCUUUGCUUUAAAUCAUGGAUAGUGUGGAUUCCUAUCUUAACACAAUAUCAAAUAUCAAUCUUUUCUUUUGAAAGCACUUAUCAAAACUUGAGAUCAUAAUCUCCUUAUAAACUCAUCACUUGUACUUAGGACUCAAAAUAUAAAGCUUUAAAGCAUCAACAUCAUAUUUAAACCUCUUGCUCAACAAUCAUCUUUAAAAGCUUUUAACAUUUUCAAAAUAACAAUAUUUAAAUAGGGGUUAAUGACUCAUAUAUCAAACUCAUGUUAAAACACCAAAAGAUUCAUGCUUGAUAAUGUAAAUAUUGAUGAAUCAACUCAAAAUCUGGAAAUUUCAGCAACAAGCAUGAAAAUAUAAACAUAUUUAUGUAAUAUCAUAACAAAACAUCAUACUUAAUAGGCUUCUUGAAAAUACUUCAACAAUAUCAAAAUAAUAAAAUCAAGAAUCACAAUAUCAUGCUUAAACUCACUUGGAAAAAUCUGAAAAAUCACAAUACUUCUAAAUCAUUGAAAACCUUAUAAGCUUGUAAUUAACAACAAUGGGUAUAAACCCCAAAUUGAAUUUCAUGAAAAAUAAUCUAAAAUUCAGUAAUUUGUAAUCUAAAACAAGUUUUGGGCACAAGGACGAAAGGAUUAUCCUUGUUGAAACCCUACAUACCUUGAAUUUGAAGCUUUGAAUAAACUCUACCUUUUGGGACUGUAUUCAUACAAUCGAUGGGUGAUUCUUGUAGCCCUCGUAAUGGGGAUUUUAAAUCUUGAAGAAUUAUUGAAAAGUGAAAUCUUGAGAUAUAUUGAUCUUUGGGUUGAAACCCUAAGGAGUGUUCUUAAUGAAUUUGAGAGAAAAAAAAAUCAUAUUUUGGUAUUUUGGGAGUUUAAUACCGUGUUAUAGCUUGACAAGGAUUGGAAAAUAAUCAUUUUACCCUUAAAAAUGCGGAAUCAAAACCUGGAAAUCAGUAGUGUGCGUCGCACGCUCAUCGCAUGAUGCUACUGUCUUAGUCACAAAAUUGGCCAUAACUUUACGCUCGGGUAUCGGAUUUUAGUGAAAUUGGUAUCAUUGUAAAGCUAAUUCAAUUCUAUACAAUUUGUUGGGUUGAACUCUGCUAAAAUACCACAUAUACAUCAAGUUAUGAUCAUUUAAAGAUGACCCUUGCAAAAUUAAACACUAAAACUUAAUGAAUUUCAAAUCUCUUAGAGCUUGCAUUACCUUAAGUGACUCCUAUGAACAUGUUUAACACAUCAUAAGCUCUUUUCUUACUAGGUUACUCAUUACAAGUCAUGUACUCAAGUAUGAAUUAUAAGAUUAGAGGUUUCGCACGUAGGAAGAAUGGUUCCUUUUCUAGUUUAAAAGUAUACGGGGUAUUACAAGAGAUGAGUUUAAUUGCUUGAAGAAGGGCUUUAUGACUAUUGUGGAGUAUGAGGCACAAUUCCAUGCCUUGUCUAGAUAGUCUUAUGCCAAUACUUCUACCAAAUUUGAGAAGAUUUAAAAAUUCAUGAAAGGGUUGGUAGUCUCUUUUCAGUUUGCUACAACUCAGAUGGUAGUAUAUAAAGCGUUAUUUUAGAUUAUGUGGAAUAUGCUAAGAUGACUGAGUUUAUUCUCCAAGUAUAUUAGGGAGACGCCAAGAAGAUGCACUAUCAGAGUGAGUUUAGAGGUCACCUCGCUCAAUAUAGAGAUUUUAGAGGUUUUCGGUGAGUAUCAUGGUAGACCAGUUUCGGAGGCCUUAUAGAGUUCAGGUAGUGGAUCUUCUAGUUUGGCAUCUUCAGGUGGUCAUCCUAGUUCAGCCGUACCUCCUUUUAUUAAGUUGGACUAUAGGGUUUUCUAUGUGUAUGAUGAGAUUAGCCAUUUGGUCUGAGAUUGUCCCUACUUUUUCUUCAAAGCUACUCCUAUAUCAGAUAUGAGAGGUAGAGAUUUUACUAAGGGUGCGAGAGAUUGAGGUAGUGGUGCCCCUGGUGGUGGUCAAGGGACUACCCAGUCUGGUGAUGGGUAUGGUCACUGAUAUACUAUAUCCGCCAGACUGGAGGUAGAGGGCGUCUAAUGCUAUCAUCACAGGCAUCAUCCUUAUUUAUUUCAAAUAUGUGUCUAUUUUAUUUGAUUUAGGGUUGACUUUUUCCUAUGUUUGUGCAUAUUUUUCUUUGAGUUUUGAUUCUGCUUGUGAGCCUCUUAAUGUUUCUAUUCAUGUAACUACCUUCGUAAGAGACUCUUUAGUGAUGGAUCAGGUGUACUGAUCUUGUAUUGUGACUUUUGCUAGGCGUAAGAUCUGCGCAGACCUGAUUGUGUUAGAUAUGGUAAAUUUUGAUGUCAUCUUAGGUAUGGACUAGUUAGCUUCUUAUCACACUAUCCUAGGUUAUUAUUCUAAGACUGUAACCUUAGCUUCACUGGGAGUGCCGAGAUAGCUUGGAAGGAUGUGCUUUAUUUUGGGUCCCAAGAGAGUUAUAUUUUUUCUUCAGGCUUAUUACUUAGUUGAGAGAGGGUGUCCGUCUUUUUUGGCUCAUAUUCAUGAUACUAGUGUUGCUUCACCUCUUUUCUUAGAUUUUAUUCGUAUUGUCUGUGAGUUCAUCGAUGUGUUCUCUAUGGAUUUGCCUGGUAUGACUCUGGAUCAUGAUAUCGACUCUGCUAUUAAUAUUGCCCUGGGCAUCAAGCCCAUUUUUAUUCCCCCUUAUAGGAUGGCCCCAAUCAAGUUAGAGGAAUUAAAGGAUCAAUUUUAGGAGUUAUUGGAUAAGUGUUUUAUUCGACCUAGUGUAUCACCUUAGAGUGUGCCUGUAUUGUUUAUGAAGAAAAAUUAUGGGUUGAUUUGUAUGUGUAUUGAUUAUCGAUAGUUGAACAAGCUGACUGUUAAGAAUAAGUAUCCUUUUUCUCAUAUUAAUGAUUUAUUUGACUAGUUUUAGGGUGCUUCAAUGUUUGUAAAGAUUGAUUUGAGGUCUGGGUAUUACCAGUUAAGGAUUAGAACUUCAGAUAGUCUGAAGAUAGCUUUUUGGACUCGAUACAGUAAUUAUAAUUCUUGGUCAUGUGUUUUGGGUUGACCAAUGCCCCAGCCGUGUUCAUGGAGUUAAUGAACCAGGUAUUUCAGUCGUAUCUCGACUCUUUUGUUAUUGAUUUAUAGAUGAUAUCUUGGUUUAUUCCAAGAGUGAGGCCAAUUAUAAGGAGUAUUUACAGACUGUUCUUCAAAGAUUUUAGGAUAAGAAGUUGUAUGCUAAGUUCUAUAAGUGUGAGUUUUGGUUGGAGUCUCUCUCUUUCUUGGCUCAUGUGGUAACCAAGAACAGUAUUAUGGUUGAUUCAGCCAAGUGUGCAGAGGUUUGUGAUUAGGCUAGGCCUACUUCUCCUGUCGAAAUUCAUAGUUUUAUUGGUUUAGUAGGUUACUAUUGGUGCUUUGUUGAGGGUUUUUCAUCAAUUAUAGCUCCAUUGACCAAGUUGACUUAGAAGAAGAUUUCUUUUUAGUGUUUCGAUGCUUUUGAGGCUAGCUUUCAAGAGCUCAAGGAUUUAUUGACUUCAUCUCCUAUCUUGACCUUGCCCAAGAAGGGCGUGAGUUUUUCCAUCUUCUUUAAUUCUUUAUGUAUUUGUUUAGGUACUGUGUCGAUGCAGGAGGGUAAGGUGAUUGCUUAUGCUUUUUGUCAGUUGAAGCCCCAUGAGUGGAAUUACACUACCAUGAUUUAGAGUUGUGCGCGGUUGUUUUUCUUUAAAGUUGUGGAGACACUACUUGUAUGGAUUUCAUUGUGAGAUUUUCUCAGAUCAUCAUAGUCUUUUGUAUUUUCUCACCCAGCAAGAUCUUACCAUAAGGCAGUGCCAUUGGCUUAAUUUGCUUAAGGAUUUUGACUUAACUAUUCUAAAUCAUUCGAGCAAGCCUAAUGUGGUUGCGGAUGUCUUGAGCUGGUAGUUGACUAGCAUGGGUAGCUUGGCACAUCUUUUGACUUAGGAGAGGCCUUUGUCCUUGGAGGUUUAGUCUUUGGCUAUCCAGAUGGUUCGGCGUGAUAAUUCUAUAAUUGGGGUAUAUUUUGGCAUUCGUAGAGGCUAGGUCUUUCUUGAUGGAGAAGAUUUGGGCUCAUCAGUUGAUGAUGUUGGUUAGAGAGUUAUUCGAGAUAAGGUGUUGAGUGGUGUGGCCAAGGAACCCUCACUUGAUUAAGAUGGUGUAUUGAGGAUUGGAGGCCCAGUUUGUAUGCCAAGAAUGGGUGACUGGAGAUAAUGGAUGAGGCUCAUUACUCCAGGUAUUCCAUUCAUCCGGGAGUGACUAACACGUAUUGUAAUCUGAAAUAAUAUUAUUGGUAGGGUGGUAUAAGGAAGAAUAUAGCAGACUUUGUAGCUCGUUGCCUCUGUUUCCAGCAGGUGAAGGCUAGCAUUUGAGACCUGGUGGUUUGCUUCAGAGGUUACCCAUUUUCGAGUGGAAAUAAGAAUGAAUCACUAUAUACUUCAUGACUGGGCUGCCUUGUACUUCUCGUGGUUUUGAUAGUGAUUGGGUCAUUGUGGAUCAGUUGAUAAAUAUGCUUAUUUCAUGUUGGUUCAGGUUUCUUUCAGUUAGAGGCCGACCCAUAUCUAUAUUUAUGAGAUAGUGUGUCUUCAUGGUGUGUAAGUGUCUAUCAUCUCAUAUUGAGGUACAAUGUUCACAUCUCAUUUUUGGAAGAAUUUUUAGGGUGAGUUGGGCACCUAAGUUGAUCUUAGUACAACUUUUCACCCCUAGACCGACGGUCAGACAGAGCAAAUAAUUUAGGUUUUGGAGGAUAUGCUCUGCACUUGUGUAAUAGACUUUGGUGGUCAGUGGGAGCAUCUCAUAUUUCAACUAUUAUUCUUUGAUUCUAUGAUUUGAAUCUUGUUUAAAAGCAAAUUUAAAGGUGGAAUUUAGGGAUUUUGGCCCGGAAGGCCUAAACUACCAUUUCUUCGAAUAAAACUCCAAUUUUACUUCAUCUUUACCUAGGGUUUCUCCUACGAGUUCAUUUAAUCUUGAAAAAUAUAUUUUUGGACAAAAAUUCCAAUUUUAUUCUUCUUUUUCGAAAACCUAUUUAGAGAGUCCGUUAUGAUCUCGAUUCAGAAGUGGGAAAUAUGGGCAUCAUUGGUUUUUUUUUGAUGCAUAGACUUUAUAUUUGUAUGUUUUAGUUGAUUUUGUGUCUAUUCGUGAGGAAAAAGCUCUGGGUUGAAGGCUUUUUAGAUUUAUUUUUGACAUUCGAGAUAGGUUAUGACUUAGCUUUCUUCAGACUAGGUUUGGUAGUUAUUAAUAAUGUAAAACCAUGCUAUGGAUAUGGGGUUGUAUCAUGGAAAAUGUGUUAUGUUAUUUAUGUGCCUGUGUGGGGGGCCUAUCUGGAUAUUAGUGAUCUUGAGAGAUUAUUUGUUAUAUGUGACUAUGUGGGGUCUUGUAUGAAGCUGUAACGUGGUAUUGAUAUAUGUAUUUUUGGUUUUACUCUCUUUGGAGGGAAAAAGCCUAGAAUUUUAAUUUUCUGUGGUAUCAUAUGACAUUAUCUUACAUGUGUCACUUGAUGGUUUCUGGAUUAUACCGGAUCAUGGAUAGUUGGUUUAUUUGAGUGAAUUUUUGGCUCACUUGGUUGGUAUAUUGGUUGAAAAUUGGAUAUUCUUAUUUUGGUUAGUCGUGAGCAUUUCAUCCUCAUAUUAUAUUAAUUCGUGAACCAUUGGUGGAAAUACUGGAUUUUUCUGAUAGAAAAUUUGACUUCUUUAAAAUCCUCUAUGGAAGUAUGUGUCAGAAAGAAGAUAUGGAUAUUAGUAUUAGAUAUUGGUUGUUUAUGGGUUGACGAGCCCCCAUGGGUCCUACCUCAGGAGCAUAACUCGGUUGGUGUAUACGGAGGUUGUGCGACGACCUUGUGCAUCACAUCAUCAUCAUCAUCAUCAUCUUCUUCUUCUUCAUUGCAUUUUAUAUAUUGUGCCUAUUUUGUGAUUGUAUUUCUGUCCUUGAAUUGAUAUUUGUCCUUUCAUUCUACCUUCUUCUACUUAUAUUUGGUGUACGCAUAUAUUUGUUCUUCUUUUCCCUACCUAUAUUUGUUAUAUUUGUAUAUAGUAGAACUGUUAUUGGAGGUGUUGUGGGCUAUCAUUUAGGAUAUUUUCUGAUUGUAGGUGUCGUGCCCAUGGUUUGUGUUAUAUGCUUUAUUUUAUACUUUUUUUAGUCGGCCUAUGAUACCUAUUAAGUACAAGUGGACCGUACUCAUCUCUAUUGUGCCCUUUUGAUACAGAUCCAGGUAUGAGUGCGCCGCACGGAUAUCUUAUUCAGACGAUAUUUGGAUUAUAUUUGAGGUAGCAGAUGCCCUAUGCUUUAUGAGUUGUCCUACUACAUCUUCUUGUCUAUUUCAUGUCUUAUUUAGUAUCCAGAGACAAAUUUUGGUUCAUUCUGGACUAUUAUAGUAUCCUUGACCCUCGAGAUAUAUUUAAUAGCUCUUACACUAUGACACCUGAUUUUGGGAUAUUAUAUGGUAUCUUAACUAUGUAUUUCUUUCUUUUACUAUAUAUGUAUGGUGCGACUCCGUUCUAGGAGUCUUGCCUUGGGUUUUUGUAUUGAUUUUUCUCAUUUCAUAUCAGUUUUGAUGAUAGACUUACUGCGACAAGUCCAUCGUGACCCUUGGUUUGUGGGCCAUGACAAUAAUGCUUAACUUGAUGCAAAAUACAUCAACCGAUGAACCUAGUCCCUGAAUAACUCCAACUUCAUCAUCCAAAGUGUUGUGCAUGGUUUGAUGGGAACUAGGUCCAAAGAUUGCUUUGUCAAUUAUCAAAACUAAGGACUUUAACAAUUUCACCCUUUUUUAUGAUGACAAACCAUACUCAGUUGUUCACAAGAUCCUCUACAAAUAUCUUCUCCCUGUCACUGAUACCUAUGAGAAUUUCUCCUGAGACAUAUACCUACUGAACAAGGUAUUUCUCUCAUGUUCCCCCUGAUUGCAGGGACCUGGUCCCUCUUUACUUAUUGUGAACAUAAAACUAAAGAAACUAACACAUACAUAUACUCCAUCUUCCCACUUUUGGCAUCAUCAAAGAGGAAAAGCAACAAACCACACAAAGGUAAACACACAAGUAAACUCAUGGACAUUGAGGCUACACUACAUGAAUAGGUAAAAAUACAAAAAGAGAGAAGGACAAUAACAUCAAAACAUUACAUUCAUUAACUAAAAUGCUAGCAUCAUAUAAUGUUUAAAAUAAAUAAAUCUAAAUAUAGAGUAAACACCACAACAACAAAAAUAAAUACAAGUGGGAUUUAAAAGAAGGGGCUUUAGAUGUCGUCACGGUGGGGACCAAGUUGAAUGGACAUCAGGAAAAAGGAUCAGAAGAAGGACCAAAAAGUUGGAGAAGAAGAAGAGUUAUUCGUUCAUUUUCUGCCGCGUGGUUCUUCAAGAGUUGUUGAGUUGAAUACUUAACCUUGGAUUCCAAAGUAUAAACCUUGGACCUUAGCAUUUCAUUCUUAGCUUGUAGACCUUUAUUUACAGUCGGUCCCUCCUCUUAGGCCUUUAAGUGGAUUGUAUUCAGCCGUUGCAAUCUUUGCAUCCUUUUGUGCCUAGUGGGUUCUCAUUUUCUCCAACUCACCACUUAGCCUGGUCUGAGCCUCAAUCAAAUCUGCCAUCAUUGAAUUAGACUUAACUCUACUUAUUCUAGUGAUUCACUCAUUUUUUCCAAGGUAGAUAUGGUGAAAAUCUACUUAACAGACCCAUCCUUCCCAAGGACACACUCCACAUCAAAAUAAGCAAACACUUUGUUCCAUAGGAGCCCGUAAGCCAAACCAUGCUUGUCUUCCUUCGUCAUUAUCACCUUAUGCAUAUAUUUUAUCAUGAUAGCAAACAGAUUUAUAUACUUAAAUUUGGUUAGGUAUUCCAUCAGGAAUAGGUCGGUUCCAGUUACAACAAUAUGCUUUUUAGUACGCGGAAGGAGAACUUUGUUAAACAAUUCAAUCAAAAGUUGAUAUUCCCCCUGAAGGGACUUCUUUGUUGCUGCCUUGAUAUUCAAAUCAUCCAUUUUGAAAAUAUGCCUCAAAAAUUUCUCAGACACAUGCUCGUCCUUCGAAGACAUGGUACCCUGAGUGGUCACACCUAACUCCUCAACCAGCACUUGCUCAUCAGGAGAAAUAUUCAUAUAUCAUAAACUUGACUUGUCAAAUAUAGGGCAUUAUCAAUGAAAGUGAGGUUGUGAACAUCUUGACUUCCAUUUAAUAGAGAAUAAGAACAAGGGUCUCAAAAGAGGUAUUCCUAACUUUGAAAUUUGACCAUCUCCAACAACUUAGCCAUACUCGAAAUACAAUAAUCUUCGGGUCAAAAACUCACCCCCUCAAUAUUUCUUGGGUUUUAAGUAUCUUUUGCCUCUGUUCUCUCAUAAGAACUUUUCCUUUAGAGGUGGAUUCUUUGUUGCUGGGACCUGGUUCCUUGAGAUCCUGUAACUCUUCCCUUUUAUUCUUACUUCUACUAGUGGAUAAAAACUUCUUGAUCAACACCCUUUUAGGUGUUGCCUUCUUUUCUGGGGGAGCAGUUCCAACCUUUGCCUUGGCUCUUUAAGUAGCCACAGUUUUGGCUACAUCCUCACCAACUUCCUCCUCAGAAUCAUCCUCAAUCUCUGUAUCAUCUGAUUUCUCCAAAGGUACCACAUCCUUUGUGGGCACACAAACUCAAUUACAACCUUUUUCUUUACAAUUUUCUUGUUUUAGUGUUAUGAUUAUUUUCUACUAGGGGAAUUUCCAAAAACUUUUGAGAACUCGACCUGGUCCCAUGAAUUUUAGUGUCUUUUGAUGGAAUUCUGGCAGUAGUAAAUACCCGUUGUUUCUUAACUUUACAAUGUAAGGGUUUUUUAGUAAUAUUACAAUGUUCUUCUUCGUUCAUAUGUGUGCCAGUCACUACAACAACAGUUUGUAUAAUUAUAUCUUUUUCUUCAACACCUUCUGGGCCAUUGUUUUGAUGUUUGGAUAGAAGGGAUCCAAUAAUGUUGUUCCACUUGGGAGUAGUGGGGGUUACCAUUCCUCUGGGUAUCUCCUCACUUAUAGUAGUCAACCCUUGAAUAACCAUAGCCUCACUUAUCCCAAGAAUAUUGGAGGAUGUCUUUUUCUCAGUUGGUAGAUCCCCACUAAACAUAUGCUCGUCUACUACAUGAACCUCAUGAGUAACCAAUGGAACAGAUCCCUUAAUACCAGGAUCAUUAAAUAUAGAGGUUGAUAAAAAUACCUGGGGAUGACCAGGUUAAAAUGAUGGUUCAAGAAGGGACUCUAAUUUUUUUUCGAUGAGAGUGGAGAUAAUUAGAGUAUCAGAAGAAGUAAAUGAACUGAACAUUACUAGAAGGGAGGAGGAUAAUGUAUAGUUAUUGCUUCUAUAAAGGAAAAAAGAAUGACAAUACCUUACAAUAAAGAUGGAGGGAACUAGAUAUGAGACAAAAUAAUCAUACAAGUCGAUGUUAGGAAACAAUGAGGGAGAGAUGACUUGGAGUGAUUUGGAUUCACUUGGGGAGAGAGAUGGAGGCGAUGAAUGAGAUGUGGGAAUUUCUUAACCAUUCUAUGUUUGAAGGAAUAUGAAGAGUAAGAGUGAGGGAGGGAAUUGAUAUUAUAAGAAUAUAGUAGUAAAUGAUAUGAGAGAGAGAAAAGUAGUGUUUAAAUAGAGAAGAAAGAAAAUAUUUUGAAUUUGAAAGGGUAGGAGUGAGGCGACGUGUUUGGUUGGAUAAGCGUGACAUUUAGGUUGAAAGGUAUUUUUUUCCUGCCUUUACGACAAGGAGGAGAAUGAUGUUCCAUACCUAACUUAAUUUUAAAACACCCCCAUUGAAUAACAAAGCAUGAUACUAACCUCAUGAGGGACCAGGUUCCUACAUGAUUUUCUGAGUGUUAGUGCUUGAGACUAUCUCAUCCUCUACCUUAAUAUUCUUCUCCUUACCAUAGGUAUAUACCUGGAAAGAUAUGAUACAGAGUUUGACAAGUAUAACAUUAACUUAUAUAGAUACCUGCUUACUAGAUUAUAUCCAUCUUAGGGGAAUUAAAAGCAUCAAAUAUGGUCAAUUUUGAUGCAUAAGUCCCAACUUUAUUCUAUUCUUUCAAACUGGCCCCUUCGAGUGCUUUGAUAAAGAUAUCUACUAUUUGGUCCUCAGUGUUGUAGAAGACCAUUUUGAUCAAUAAUUUCUCCGCAUUGUCCCUUAGAAAGUGAUGCUUGAUAUCUAUGUGUUUUGUUCUCUUAUACUGAUUUCUUGGCUAUAUUUAUUGCACUUGUGUUUUUACAAAAUAAAGGAACACAUUCCGAUAAGAUUCAAAAGUCCUAAAGUUAUUGUUUUAUCCAAACCACCUGAGCACAACAUGAAACAACUGCCAUAUACGCUGCUUCGGUAGUAGAAAGAGCCACUGAAUUUUAUUUCUUAGUGCCCUAGAAAAUUAGAGAAGACCCUAAGAAAUGAGCCAUUCCUGAGGUGCUCUUCUUUUCGAUUGGGUACCCUGCAUAGUUUGCAUCUGUAUAGCUAACCAAAUCAAAAUUAUCACCAGCGGUAUUGAGGAAUACUGGGUCGGGGGUACCUUUGAGAUAUCUUAGAAUUCUUUUAGCAUACUUUAAAUGCGAUUCCUUUGGAUAUGCUUGAAAUAUUACACACAUCCCCACACUACAACACAAUAUCUGUCCUUCUAGCAAUAAGGUAGAGAAAUGAACCAAUUAUUCCUCUUUACAUGGUCUUAUUUAUAGAGGGACCAAGUUCAUCCAAAUCCAGCUUUGAUGAGGUCCCAAUGGGGGUGUAAAUAGGUUUUGCAUCUUCUAUGUGAAAUAUUUUUUGUAGCUCCAUGAUAUAUUUUUGCUGGUAGAUAGUUGUAACAUUAGCACUCUGCUUGAUUUACAACCCAAGAAAGAAAUUGAGCUCACCCAUCAUGCUCAUCUCAAAUUCACUUCUCAUCACUAGGAAAAUUUAUCACAUAGUUAAUUGGUUGUAGCCCCAAAUAUUAUAUAAUCUACAUAAACUUAUACAAUCAACAAGUUUCUUCCCUUGAUAUUCAAGAAAAGAAUGUUGUAAAUAUUGUCUCUUUUGAAACCAUUAUCCAACAGGAAUUUAGAGAUCCUUUCACGCCAGGCCCUGAUUGCUUGCUCAAACCAUAACGAGUCUUAUCAAGCUUAAACACAUGGUUAGGGAAAUCAACAUCUUCAAAUCCCGAAGGAUGCUUCACAUAAACUUUUUCUUUUAGAAUUCAAUUUAGGAAGACAUUUUUGACAUCCAUUUAGAAUAGUUUGAACUGUAUAUUGGAAUCAGUUUAAAUAGCUUCCAUUCUAGCAACGUGUGCAAACGUUUUAUCAUAAUCUAUUCCUUCUUGCUGAUUAUAUCCCUGCACAACAAACCUUUCCUUAUUCUUGAUAGUGUUUCCAUGGUCAUAUGCUUUGUUAUCGUAUACCCACUUGGUCCCAAGAACAGUUCUAUUAGUAGUGAGAGGGACCAGAUUCCAUACUUUGCUUCUUUAAAACUGAUACAACUCUUCGUGCAUGCUUCUAUUCAAUCAACAUCUUUAAGAGAUUUCUUCAUAUUUUUGGGCUUAAUUUGAGACAAAAAUGUUAACAAAGUACACAAGUUUCUAGCUUGAUUCCUAGUUUACAUCCUAGAAUCUAGAGAAGAUAGAAGAUAUGAAGAGGAUGUAAGGAUUGAUGCUUCCUCUUAGAUCUAUAAUGUGUAGGCUGAGAUGAGCUGGAACCAAUUAUUAUAGUGAUGUCCCCCUGAGGGGAUUAGUGUUCAACUGAACUCAAGUGAUGAUUCAAAUACUCAUGAGGAGAUUGGGGUGAUCCAGGUUAUUGGUGGUCGAGAGAAUCAUCCUUGUCUUCAGGAGUUAAGCCUGGUCCCUAUGAGUCUCCAACCUCUUUUCCUCCUAUAUAUGUUUUAUCCUCACCACCACUUAAAUUCCUUGGUGCAUUGAGAAGAUCUUCAAGACGAGAUCAUCAUGAACAUGUCCUUCACCAAAACUCCCCCUUUAUCAAACACAACACGCACACUUUCUUCUACACACAAUUUGAGGAGUAGCCUACAGAGAUUCCUUCAUCACUUCUUGGAUCAAACUUUCCUAGGUUAUUCUCCUAUUAUUUAAAACAAAGCAUUUACAACCUAAAGCUUUAGAAUAACUCAUCUUGGGCUUCUUUUUGGUUAGGAGUUAAUAGGGAGUCUUAUUAAUAAUGGACCUAAUAAGAUAUUGAUUAAUCACAUGACAAGCAGUAUUUACUGCUUCAGCAUAGAAACUUUUAGCUAUCCUUUAUCAAUCAAUAGUUCUAACAAUUUCCACCAAGGUUCUAUUUUUCCUCCCCAUAACAACAUUCUUUGAUGUGUUUAGGAGCUAAAAAAUUAUGAUCAAUCCUAAAAUUAUUACAAAAUUCAGUGAAUUUGGUAUUUUCAAAUUUUAUACCAUGGUCGGACCUGAUCCCUAUGAUUUUUUCACUGUACUUCAUUUGCACUUACUCUAAAAAGGUUUCAAACACUAGAAAGGUUUCUUCCUUGGAUCUUAGAAACAUGGUCCAGGGUAGAACUGGAAUAGUCAUCAACCACAAUAAAAAUAUACCUUUUCCCCCUCUACUUGUGAUUUUGACAAGUCCAUGUGGAGAAGUAUCAGGUGUCUAGAGGUACUUACUUGUUUCUUUGAUUUGAAAGAAGACCUAGUCUGCUUUCCUUUCACACAUGCUACGCAUUUUAGUACUAGAAAACUUCAGUUUGGGCGUUCCUCAAACCAGGUCCCUACUUGCUAGUUUGUUCAGCAAGGAACAACUCACAUGUCCCAAUCUUUUAUGUCACUAUUUAGCAACAUCAUCCUAAACACUAAGACAUGUGAGGUUCUUGGUGUAACAAGAUCCCAAAUCAGCAAAAUACAUGUUCUUAUUUCUCCAAUUUGUGAGGAUGAUUUCACCAUUUUGAGACUUGUAACUGUACACUUAUUAGACAUGAACCUAACCUUAUUUUCUUUGUCACAAAUUUGUGACAUACUCAACAAGAUGUAUUUAAGGCCAUUAAUGUAAUGCACAUUUUUAAUUGCCUGAUUGAGACUUUUUUCAACUUUCCCAACACCUAGAAUGUAUCCCUUUAUACCAUCACCAAAGGAGUCACUUCCUUCUUUAUGGGCUUUUGAGCGAGAGAAAGUCUUCAACUCUUUCAGUCAUACCUUAGGAACAACUACUAUCCAUGUACCAAUGGUGACUGCUUUGUCUUUCUCUGCCCUACAAACAUAAUUAUUUGUUAGCCUUAGGAACCCAUUGCAAUUUGAGUUCAUAGUAGGGAGACAAAGAAAAUAUUGGAUUCUUCUUGGUCCAAGCAAGUAGUACUGCACUACAAUUUUUUGAUUUAGAAAAUCUUCUCAACCUCUUUACAACAACUAAUCUUGAUUGACAAGAGUAUUUAGUAUGGCAAUUUCAAUCAUAAUGAGUGCACAAAAGAUUGUCCUUUACAGAGACAUACUUGCUAUGUGGAUUAUAAGGAGCACUUGAUUUGUGGAAACCAAGAUCCAUUCUAUUAUUUAACCUUUGAUUAUGAGAUUGGUUAGAACUUGAGAGGAAGUAGUCCAUCUGAGAGUCUUUUCAAGUUAAACUUUGAUUCGGACCAGGUCCCUCUAAAGCUCAAAAUUUCUCUCUAAGGAUGCAGUUAAAUCUGGAUGAGCAUUGGUCAACUUUUCCUCAAGUUCAAACUUAAUCCUAUUACCUUUACCUUUUUUUUACUAGACUUAGAUAUUUCACUAAGUCUUUUAUUCAAUAGUUCAUUUUCAAAGGAUAAAGACUGGUAACUAUCUUGUAACUUAGAUAACACUUUAGAUUGAUCCAUUUUCCCUAUUUUAAGUUCAUCAAUGCUUUUAUUUAAUAAAUCCUUAUCUUUUGUGAUGUCAUACACAGAAUCUAUCAAAUAACUACAAAAGACUUACUCCUUAAGAGAGUAAUCUUUUAAUUUUAUUUAAUGUACAGAAUGGUUACUUUAUCAUCAUUAAAUUUGACCAUCAAAGAAAAAAGAGAGUCAUAAAUUUGAUCAUCAUCUUCAAUCACCAUCAUUGAGACAACUUCCUAUUUCUUAAACUAAUCAAACUCACUAGAGAAAUCUCCUAUGUUGCAAGAGUUUGAUUCACAAGAUUGUCAACUGCAGCUAUUCAGUUGAAUUUCUCAAGAACCUGGUCUUUCUUUUUCUCUCUAUCACUAGCUUUCCUGAAGUACUCUUUACACUCUAUUUUGUGAAGAGGAUAAUCUUUGAUAAAGUGAACUGGUUUUCCAAACUUGUCACAUAAGUAAUUACCUCUAUUAUAUAUGCUUGAGUCUUCUCUUCUAGAUAUUCUACCAUUCUUCCUCAUAAUCUCGAGGAAUCUUUUAGUAAUGUAUGAUGUUUCUUCAUCCACUUCUCUAGAUUCUCCAUUUGUAGUUAUCAAUACUAAAUUCUUUUCCUUAUUAUGUUAACUUCUUCCUUUGUCUGGUUGUAUUUUGAGUUCAUAGGUCUUUAGGUUUCUAAUUAACUUAUCCAUGGUUAGGGUUUUUAGGUCCCUAGCCUCGUUGAUAACUUUACCUUACUCUCCCAUGAUUUUGGCAAUCUGCUAAGAAUUUUGUGGUCCUAUUUAGUAGGUUUAACUACUUCACCAAGACAAUGUAGUUCAUUAGUGAUAGCGGUGAACCUGGUAGGUAUCUCUUGAAUGGUUUCAUCUUUCUUUAUGUUAAAAGACUUAUAUUGAGUGGUUAACAUAUCAACUUUUGACUCCUUAACCUUGGUAGUUCCCCCAUGAGCGGUUUGUAGAUCUUCCAAAAUAUCCUUAGUUGUUUCACAAGCUGAGAUCUUAUUGUAUUUGUCAGGACUAGUCCCAUAAAUAAAGAGUUUUUUAGCCUUGUAGUUUUUCUCAAUCUCCUUUCUGUUAGUAUCAUCAAACUCCUUCCUUAUUUUGCGAACAACUGAAGUGACUUCCUUAACUUUCACUGGAUUAAUAAGAACAAAGGGUUCAUUGACAAUGACAUCCCAUAACUCACUAUUUAGAAAGAGACCGCUCUGAAACCAAUUGAAAGACUAUAUGAAUAGCUCACAAACUUAGGGACCUGGUCCCUACCAAGUGUAUUGAGUAAUAAAUAAGAAUAACUGAAAAUACAACAUAAAGAAAACAAUUCACACACAAUAUUUACAUGAAAGCCUCUUUGUUUAAGAAAGUAAAACCACAACCUACCAUGUAAGAUUUCUAACCACUUCACUAUCUUCAAACAACUUAUAAAUAUACUCUGUAGUUUAAGGAUUAACCUCUCAACCUACAAAACUUGAAAUAUCUAUAUUACAAGACUCCACAACAAUAACUUAUUGCUAACACUGACACAACUAACUCUAACAGAAUCAAUCACUAGCUAGCUCUAGCCUUAAAUGUCAAUUAACUCCAGCUGACUCAACUCACACGAAUGAAAAAAAAUAAGAAACCUACAAUCUAUAGACUAUAGCCAUAGGGUGAGUGUUUUCAAAUCCGUGAACAAAGACUCAACUACAAGUCAAACUUAAGACAAUGAAAACACCAGAGUAGGUCCCUGUUGUAAGUGUGGCUUUGCUUGAAAGAUUGAGUGUUCUUUGCAUAUGAGAGCUUAGAUUUUCUUGUUGUAAACAUGUUGAAUAUAUAUGGGACAAGAAAACCUAGAAAUUUUUUGAUUGGAUGGAGCAAAAAGUUGUUGCAGUUUUGCCGGCAACUUUUUGCCACCUAGUACUAUAUACAGUUGUAGUGCUAAUUUUGAUGUAGAAUAAAUCAACCCGAUGAAACUGGUCCCUGAAUGGAUAAAACUUCAUCAUCCAAAUUAUUGUGUAUUUCACGGGAAUCAGGUCCCAAGGUUGAUUUGUUAAUCAUCAACACUAAGGACUUAACAUUUCUUAAAGGGUAUUUGACGAUAUAAAAAACAUCAAAUAUACAAUAUAAAUUAGGUUAAAUAGUUAUACGUGUCACACCCUUUUUUUUACCAAAAAGAUUAAAUUUAAAGUUCGAAAAGGGUUUUUAUUAUUAAGUGAUAAAAAAUAAAAAUAAAAUUCAAAAAGGAUUAUUUACAUUUAAACUCAAAGUCGCCACUUGGCAUAAAUCGGGUAUGACAAGUCACCUUUGAAAACCCUUUUUCAAAAUGAUUUUGACUCUUUAAAACUGAUCCGCGAACAGAGAUUUCAAUUAAGGAAUUCUGCUGAUCAAAGGGAAAGUGUUAGGCACCCCUCGAUCCCUUGGUUCGACCACGAUUUCUUGAUGGAACAUAUCAGCUAAUUUUAUACUAUGAAUGUAUAAACCACAUAAAAACACACGAAAAUAAUCAAUCAAACAAACAAAAUAAAACAAGUCAACAGAUAUAGUGUCCAGUCCAAUUAUUACAGCCCAAAAUACAAAAAGUACUAAAAAUAAACCUGCACUAAUACUAAACUAUGCUCCAAUGCUUUACUCGACACCUCGAGUCUUCAUCACGAACCUACUUUGCAUACAUGAUACGUCGGGGCAUUUUCGUUAAAUAAAUUCAAUGUGUCUCGGGGCAUUUCCCGCCCAAAUAAAUACAAUUAACCCAAAUGCGGUAAACAAAAUCAUUCAACAAAUAUUCCACAUUCCCCAAGUUAUAAAUUUGCCUACCUGAGCCUACUGUUUUCCUACCCAGCUCGACCUAUCAUGGCACUAUCACAAUCAACGAAAUAAAUGAAUCAAAACAACAAUAUUCACUUUAUCAACUUUCAAUCCCCGUCCCAUUUAUUUCCAAUUGAGUUUAAAUCAUUCAAUUACUUAAUUCAAAAAAUCAAUACGAUUAACCAAACAUAUCAAAAUCAACGAAAAUAAGAGCCACACACCAUGAAUUUACCACACAAUUAAGAAUUAAUCGAGAAUGAGAUGGAGGAUAGACCUUAAUGCCACUUUUAUUUAAUUAAAUAGAGGAAUCUCGUAGAUUCAGAACCUCGGAUUCAAACACUGGAAGAAUUACCAAACCUCGACUAUCAAUCAACUCAAUCGCAAACUCUUCAAAUAUGAUUCGAAAAAAUCCCGUGAAAAUGAAUGGAUAACCCAAAAUGGAAAUUGCACAGCCCGAAGCUUUUACAUAAUUUUUGGCGUAGCUCCGCUGUACCCAAACUAGAAAUCGUGAAAACAAACAGAGAUCAAGACUGGAUUUGGAUAAAAUUUGAAGUGAACCGGAGUUGGGUUAACUAUUUUUGUGUCGUCGGAGUUUUGAUGAGCUCCAACAUUAAAUAAAACCAGAGCUCUCAUCGGAACAAUCAGCCUCCGUCAUUUUCUCUCCCUCACUCUCCUUUUCUCUCUCUCUCAUGCUAUUUCUCUCUUAUUUUUCAUUGUUUUUUUACUCUCUAUGUGUGUUUAGUGGUGUGCCUCCAGUGGCUUGUGUGUGUGUGCGUUUAUGGUGGCUGUGUUUAUUUAUACAUGUGUGUGUGAGUGGAGGUGAAUUUAUUGAGAGUGUUUGUGUAUAUCCUUCUUGUGAUGUAUGGAAAAAAAGGUAUAUUUAUGGUGAGUUUCUGUGUAUGUAUUGCUAAUGAAAAAAGAUGGUGAGAUAUAGAGAAUUAUAUGUACAUAGAAAUUGGUGAGGUGUGAGUGAUGUAGUGUGUGUGAAUUGAAAAUUCUCGUGGGGUCCCUCACUUUUGAAUUUUGUUAGUGGUAUAAAAAAUGUGAUUAAAGGGAGUAUGUGGUGGGGGUAGGGGUGGUGAGGUGGGGGUAAGGGUAGGAUAUGUGAGAGGUAGGGUGAGUUUAUUAAAUUUGGUAGGGUGCAGUGUCAAAAAAUGGUUGAGAGUUUGUUGGAUUUAUUAUUGAGUGGAAGUUAUCACAUGAGUGAAGGUCUAUAGCAAAAUGAGGGUAAACGGGUAAAAACACACUCUCAAAAGGAAAAAAAUUAUGUGUCUACAUCAUGUCCUGCUUUAGAUGUAAACACAAAGUGUUUUCAUACAAAGAAGUAGACAACAAGACAGAAUUUUAAUCCGACCAUUAUUCAAAGGAAGAAAUAGAAGGAGAAAGGACAACCGAGUUAGAGAGUCGAGCAAGGUCCUGUUGAGGUUACGGUCCAUGGCUCCGUAAUUACAUCAAAAAUAAAAAUAACAAGUUAAAAAAAUAAAUAAAAUUAUUAAAGUCUUAUGUAUGCAGCUUUCCUUAACUUUUUACUUGCUAUUUCAUCACCCUAUCUUUAGACGUGAUACUGACUUGCAAUUUCUUCAACUUGCUGCUUGGUUUUCUAUUUUUUCACCCUAUUCUUCAAGCGGGCUCCUGACUUGCUAUUUUUCAAUCUGUUGACUUUCAAUUUCUUCACCUAGUUUCUUGUCUUUUAAUUUCUUCACCUUGUUGCUUGACUUUCAACUUCUUCACCUUGUUGCUUGACUUUCGAUUUAUUCACCUGUUCUUCGGGUGGGCUCCUGAAAUCACAUCAAAACUAGAAAGAAAAUUAUCUCAAACAAAUGUUAUUAUAAAGAGAGAUUCCACUUGCCAGAAAAGUAAAGUUUCAAAAAUAGAAAUUAAAUUUUUGCCCCAGUUUAACAACAGAGGACUUUUGUGACAAUCACAUCAUAACUACUUGAAAAAUUCGAACAAAGAAAUGAAUAUUCUAUGGGUUAAUUGGAAUGAUUCAACUAUAAAGUGUAUUUUCUAGGAGUCAAAGGGAAUGACUUAACUAGAAAGUACAUUUUCUAGGAAUCAAGGGGAAUGACUCGACUUAGAAGUUUCUAGGAAUCAAGAGGACUGACUCGAUCAGGAAGUACAUCUUUUAGGAAUCAAGGGGAAUGACUCAACCAGGAUGUACAUCUUCUAGGAAUCAAGGGGACUAACUCGACCAGGAAUUACAUCUUCUAGGAAUUAAGGAGACUGACUCGACCAGGAAGUACAUCUUCUAGGAAUCAAGGAGACUGACUCGACCAGAAAGUAAUCUUCUCACUACUAAAAAAAAAGGCCAAAAAGUGACGUAAAAAAAGCAAAGAAAUGUGUCGCUUUAAAAUGCGACGACAAAAGUGACACUGUCCGUCGCUUUUUAAUUUAAUUUUUAUUAAAAUCGACUGCCAACGUCUUAAUAUCCAUCUUUUUUUUUUGGUGGAUUAUUGUGCCAACGAAUUAACAAAUAGUUUUUAUUUUUUUAAAAUGUGAUGGAUAGCAUUGUAAUUUAUUUAAAAAUAAUAAUAAUUAUUUUUUUGAAAAGCGACAUAGUCCGUCAAUUUAUAAAUUUGACUUUUAUUUUUAUUUAUUUUUAUUAAAAGCGAUGCACAACGUCGCUAUAAUUUUUAUUUUUAAAAUAUUAAUUCUAGAAGAGCGACGUCAUCUGUCUCAAUUUGUAAUUAUUUUUAUUUUUUUCUAUAGGACAACGUCGCUUCUGUUAAAAUUAAAUAAAAAUUAAUUUUUUGAAAAGCGAUGUUGGCUGUUGAUAUUUGAUAUUUUUAAUUUAAUAAUAAAUAAAUAAUUUUAUAUUUUUAAAACCUAAAUUAAAUAUAUAAAUUUUUAAAAAAUGACGGCCAACGUCGAAAUUUAGUCAAGCUUUUAGUCCACCCGUAUUAGGGCAACAAACCCAUUUCUUCUCCUUUUCUCUCUCUCUUCCUCCAUGCUUCCCUCUCUCUCUCUCUCUUUCUCCGAUCAGUCAAAAUUAGGAUUGAAUUUUGGUGACUUCAUUAGUAGGAAAACUCCCUUUAUUUCUAAGCUUAGUAAUCCCCUUCAAUAUUGGAAAAAAGGUAAGGUUCAUGUGCUUAUUUUUUCCUUUUUAUGUAUGGUUUUGGAUGAACAAUUUUAUUUACAUUAUUGUUAAGAUCUGGCACUCCCUCACGCUUGGCGCCAAUGAUGUCUAUCUGGUGUUUCCCAUUGGAUCUCUGCCAUUUUUAUUUUUUUAAUUUUUUAUGGAUAAUCAAGUUUUUCAGCAUAAUAAAGUUAUUCUUUCUAAGUUUACAACUUAUUUGGCUGCCAUUUUGAUUUUCAAGAAUUUGGGUAAGGUUUUAUUGGAUUACUGUUACUGCAUAUAUUAAGAGGAUAUUGUGUUGAAGUUCAACUUAAUUUUAGGUGUCAUUUUGGUUUUCACAAACUUGGAUAAAUUUGUAGCAGCUCCACCCAUUGAUUUUUGCAACACCUAACAUAUUAGAGAGAAAAUGGCGAAUCACCAAAAAAAUUAUAGUUUUAUUUUAUCAUGUAUUCCCUAUCUUAGAUUAAAGAUGAUUUAGAGUAGGUAUUAUCAUGGGGGCAUGUUUAAAAACUAAUUAUAACAUUGUGGAUGUGGUUAUCGAAAGCUUGUAGCAAAUUUAGAUAGCUUGAAAUAACUUUCAGUGAAAUUAGGUCAAUGAAAAUAGUAGUGCUUUGGGUGCAAGUGAAUGAUUGAGAUGGGAUUUUCCUACAGGGAGAAUUGUACAUAAGUUAGAACUUUGAGUGAAGAGCCUAUUUUUGCCCUCAUAUCUAUGUUUAGUUAUUACAUUAUCAAAAAUAUCAAUAGUCCAAUUGUUGUAAAACAGUACUUUUUCCAUACCUAACAUUGAGGGGUUAAUACUUAAAAAACAAAGUGGUGUGCGAUUGUUAAUUUGUAACUAUCUCUUUUUUGAAUUUAAGUCUUUGUUGCUAAGGAAGGGACAUUAAAAAAGGAGAAACUAGAAAAGGAUCUUAAGAGAACUAUUGAAAUUAUGGAGAUAAUCGAUUGAAUAUUGGUGACUUCAUAAUCUUUAUAACAUCUAUGGUGCACAACAAAUGGUACAUGCCAUGCUUAUUUGAUGAGAAUUAAGUCCAAAUAUUGGUGACUUCAUAAUCUUUAGUUAAGAAUAGGAAAAGAGUCUGCAUAAUAUUUUCACUUAUGAAUGAUGUUAAUGAUUUUUGCUUAUUUCAUUUAAAAAUCCCAUUUUUAGUUGAAUCCCAAAGAUUAUUCUUCAAAGAGUGACCUUAUUUAUGUCGACAGAAAGUCUGAUUGAAAAAAAGAGACAAUUUGAUGCUAUGACUACGUUAGACAAUCGCUGCCUCUCUCUCUUCAAAUUAGGCCAAACAAAGGUAAGUUUAUUUCUCUCUAUUUUCUUAUAGUGAAGUCUUUAUUUGUAAUGUAAUGGCGGAAUUAUUUGCUGUAGAAGACUUCUAAAGCCGUAGAUUUUAUGAUGAUUAUAUGGUGUGGGAGGGAUAUACGAUGCCUCUACUUAUAGCUUUAUUAAAUUUAUUGAAUUAUCUGACUUAUAUUACAAUUGAGAAUGUGAACUAGCGAUUAGAAAAUGAUUAAAUAUAGUCACUUGAAAUGUGAAGUUAUGAUUUGAAACUGAUUGUGUAGUUACUUGAAAUUGUGAACUUGUGACUUGAAAAUGAUUAAUUAAAUGGGUACCUGAAAUUGUGAACUUGUGACUUGAAAAUGCUUAAGUGUAGAUACUUGAAAUGUGAUGUUAAUAACUAGAAAAUGGUUGUUUAGCUACUUGAAAUAUGAAGUUAAUGACUUGAAAAUGCUUAAGUGUGGUUACUUGAAAUUGUAAACUUGUGACUUGAAAAUGGUUAAGUGUAGCAACUUAAAAUUGUGAACUUAUGACUUGAAAAUGGUUAAGUGUAGCUACUUGAAAUAUGAAGUUAAUGACUGGAAAAUGCUUUAAGUGUAGUUACUUGAAAUUGUGACCUUGUGACUCAAAAAUGGUUAAGUAUAGCUAUUUGAAAUUUUAAACUUGUGACUUGAAAAUGCUUAAGUGUAGCUACUUGAAAUGUGAAGUUAAUGACUUGAAAAUGCUUAAGUGUAGUUACUUGAAAUUGUGAACUUGUGACUUGAAAAUGGUUUAAGUGUAGCUACUUGAAAUAUGAAGUUAAUGACUUGAAAAUGAUUAAGGGUAGUUACUUGAAAUUGUGACCUUGUGACUUGAAAAUGGUUAAGUGUAGCUAUUUGAAAUUUUGAACUUGUGACUUGAAAAUGCUUACGUGUAGCUACUUGAAGUGUAAAGUUAACGACUUGAAAAUGCUUAAGUGUAGUUACUUGAAAUUAUAACCUUAUGACUCGAACAUGGUUAAGUGUAGCUACUUGAAAUAUGAAGUUAAUGACUUGAAAAUGCUUAAGUGUAGUUACUUGAAAUUGUGACCUUGUGACUUGAAAAUGGUUAAGUGUAGCUAUUUGAAAUUGAGAACUUGUGACUUGAAAAUGCUUAAGUGUAGCUACUUGAAAUGUGAAGUUAAUGACUUGAAAAUGUUUAAGUAUAGUUACUUGAAAUUGUGACCUUAUGACUUGAAAAUGGCUAAGUGUAGCUAUUUGAAAUUGUGAACUUGUGACUUGAAAAUGCUUAAGUGUAGCUACUUGAAAUGUGAAGUUAACGACUUAAAAAUGCUUAAGUGUAGUUACUUGAAAUUGUGACCUUGUGACUUAAAAGUAGAUACUUGAAAUAUGAAGUUAAUGACUUGAAAAUACUUAAGUAUAGUUACUUGAAAUUGUGACCUUGUGACUCGAAAAUGGUUAAGUGUAGCUAUUUGAAAUUGUGAACAAGAGUAGGUUAUACUUCUAAGCUAAAACUGUCCUCUCCAAUAUCUGUAGACUUUGCUGGUUUUGAGGGCUAUAUCAAUGCAAAUAAAGUGGGGAUGUAACAAUUUCAGUAUUUGAUGGAUAAAUAUCCAUAUUAUUAUUAUUAUUUAUUCAACAUACCAAAAAUAAGAGAAGCUUAAAAAUGCUCUGAAAUCUUCACCUAAAGAAGGAAAUUGGCAAAAUGUGAAAAUGCUGAAUUUAAUUUGUCAUGUGUACGUAUGUGCAUUAUAGGGAGAAAAUAUCCUCCCCCAAUCAUUAUGUGUCACUGUCGUGCAGACAGAAAAUGAAAAAAGGAACCACAAAGAAUUCUUUGACAUUGACACAGGAAGCUUCCAGAGAUAUGGCAAUGCUUGUUGAUUCAUAAUUUUAGUUUCAACCUGAUAACAUUCUUUCCUAUGAAUUGACUUUGCUGAUACUUGUGAGUAAUUGCUCAAACUUUUAUGGCUGAUCAUUUGUACUUAGAACUAACUCUAAUUCUAAUGUCAUAUAUCGCACUUAAGUUAAUUUAAAUUGACAUGCUAUUUUCAGUAGAUUGUUUGUUGGACCAGAACAUUUUUGUUUUUUUGGUAGUCAUCCUUGAGUUGAGGGUGUAUUGAAAACAACCUCUCUACCUAUGGGGUAAGGUCUGCGUACAGAGUACCCUAUCCAAACUCCACUUAUGGAAUUGCACUGGCUACGUUGUUCUGCCUAAUUGGUAGUCCUGCUAGUGUAUUAUAAUACCAAUCUUUAGUGAGCUUAUCUGCUAGAGGUGUUUUGAAGAAAAAUCCUGUACUUUCCAGAAACUUCAGAUGAAUUGCUUAGUGCUCUUUUAUUUCUGGUGUAAACAUGAAUAUCCUUUAGAAGCUGAGAACAUUUAUGGUAUUCUAGAAUGCUGAGUAGACAGGUAGUAGGUUUUGGUGAAGUUCCCCAUUUAUAAUAUCCAUGUUACCUAUCUUUAAAAUAAAAGUGUUUAUGUUUAUUCUUCUAAUAUCUUCUGAAUGAAUCUAUAAUAUAAUAAGUGUUUUACAAUUCAUAAAUGUUUCACUUUAAAAUUCAGUAAAAUUUACUAAUAUGUCUUUUUUAAUAUGCAGAAUGAAUAUAUACACUACUUAUCUGAAUUUGGUUCAAUCGAUCCUACACAGGAGGAAUCAAUUAAAAUUUGGACCGAAAAAGUGGCAGGAGGAUAAAAAAAGAGAAAAUCUAUGGGUUUGGUUCUUGAAAUAAUUUACGACGUCUUCGUGCUGGAUGGGCUGCUAUUGGUUCCUCGCGCCAAGUUGAGGUGAUUGACGGUGUUCAGCUUUCUACUAUGUCACAAUAGAUUACAGAUCUUUCACGUGCCUUUGCACAGUCCAUUGCUCAAAAUAAAGUUAUGAGCAAGACUGUCGAGGAACUCAAGAAACAGGUGGUUGGCAUGAGUCAUCGUCGUCAUCGUUCUCCAUCUCCCGAUUCAAUUAGCAAAGAAGAAACAGAAAGUGAUGAGUUUGUUGACACUACUCCUUAGUGUUAGUUGAAUUUGCUUCUAGACUUUUUUGAGACAUUAAUUCUUGAACUUUACUUUUAACUUUUAAAUUAAGAAGCUUAAAAACCGAAGUGUUUUGGAUGUUUUUGAAUUACCUGUUAAGUGUUUUUGAAUAUUGGAUAAGUGUUUUGGAUGUUGUUGAAGCGUUGAUGAUUUGAAUUACUUAAAUGUUUUGAUGAUGUAGUUCGUUGUAUGAUUAGUAAUGUGCGUUGUAUGACGUAUAUAUCAAAUUGUAUUUAUUUGACAGGUGGAAUGCAGAAAAUACAAAUUUGUGCAUUCCAAAAAAAUGCAGAAAAGCAACGGACAGGGUCUCUUUUGUCCGUCGCUUUUUAAAUCAGUAAUUUUUAAAAGAUAAACGACGAUGUGUGUCGCUUUUUUAUUCAUUGUGAAGAAUAGAAUGCGAUGACCAACGUCGCUUUUUUAAUCAUGAUGAAGAACAAAAGUGACGAUCAACGUCGCUUUUUUAAUCAUUAUGAAGAACAAAAGCGACGACCAAUGUCAAUUUUCCUGAAAAACAAUUAUUUUUUCUAUAAAAUGACGAUAUCCUUCGUUUUUAGUUCAUCAUGUGUUCUUCACAUGAAGAACAAAAACGACGAACAAUGUCGUUUUUUCAAAAAAUAAUUAAUUUUUUCCCUAAAAGUGACGCUGUCCAUCGUAAAUAAAGCGACACAGGCCGUCAUUUUCAAAAAAAAUGCCCCUUUUUGAGAAGGAAAAAAAGCGACGGAUUUCCAUCCUUUUUGUCCAAAAAAGCGACGCUAGUCAUCGCUUUUUGGCCCUUUUUUAGUAGUGUCUAGGAAUCAAGGGGAAUGACACAACCGGGAAGUACAUCUUCUAGGAGUCAAAGAGAAUGACUCGAUCAGGAAGUACAUCUUCUAGGAAUUAAGGGAAAUGAGUCAACGGAAAGGUACGUCUUCUAGGAGUCUAAAAGGAUGACUCAACCGGAAGGUAUGUCUUCUAGGGGUCAAGGAGAACGAAUCGAACGAAAGGUAUGCUUUCUUGGAGUCAAGGGGAAUGACUCGACCGGAAGGUACGUCUUCUAGGAGUGAAGGUUCAAUUUAAGAAGUGGAUCACCUAGCAAUUGAAAACUAAAAUUCCAGGACAAGGAAGUGUGUCUCCGAGGGAUAUAGGAUGAUAAAUUUUACCAUGAUUUGAUUAUCAAAAUUGUGCAGCAACAUUGAUUCCUGUAUUUGUAGAAGUGAGGCAUUGAAACCUUUGAUAUUUAUGCUCUGAAGUCCUUGAUUUAUAGGUAACAUUUUUCCUGUUUCAUAAAUAAAAACUUGUGAAUUUAAACAUGGUGGCUAGUUUGUGGCUUUGCCUUUAGCGGCAAACGCUCUUGCCCUUGUCACAUUUAACCUUGCUUCCAGCCAUUAACAUAUAUCAUCGACUUGCUGCAUCAUUGACCCAAACUCAGGUUAUUAAGAGUGACUCGGAAACUAACACAGUAUUUCUGCUUUGCCAGGCUUCUCAGAUAAACCCUUUGAACCUUGGUAUUUUCAUGUGUUCCUCAACUUGUAUGUUGACAAAAUUUUUUGCAUGCCUUAUUUUGACUCACAAUCAUGUCUCUUUUAUGUGUUGGCCUUUCUUUUCUCUUACUUUGUGCAAUUGAAAAAGAUGGUAGCCCGUUUUAAAAUCUUUUCUCACUUGUUUUGACAUGGACUUGACUCAAGGAUACGAGAAAAAUGAUAACAAUUGAAUAACUGACUCAAGAAAAAAGAAAUAGAAAUAUAGAGAAGAAAUAAAAGACAAUGAAUGUCCCCAUUGAAAUAGUGAACAGAAAAAUUUAACUGAAAAUGACAGUCAACCCUAAUGAUUAUGACACGCCUUAUGGAUCUGAUCUUUUGUCAAAACUUUCUACCAAUUAUUCUUGAGUUAGUGGCCCUGAAACUGAGUUACUUCGCUGGGCCAAUUUUAUUUGGAGACCUUAUUCGGCUAGUGACACCUUGAAGGAUUUUCGCUAACAAGCCUCUCUCAUUUUUGUUUUCUCACCUCACCAUUAUUUUAUGGUAUUCAACAGGGUUUUUCACCAAUGAGACUUUUAUUUUUAUUUCUCUUAACUCACAACUGUCUUACAAUGCCCGUGAGGGUUUUCACCAAUAAGACUCUCUCAUUUUUAUGUCUCUCAACUUAUCACCAUCUUACGGUGCCCGUGAGGGUUUUCACAAAUAAGACUCUCUCAUUUUUAUUUCUAUCCUGAUUUUACUGAGGAGGACAAAUAGUUUCCAAAAUGCGUUAUCAUAUGCAUUGCAUGCUUAGCCUUAUCAUUCUCACGAUCUAAAGAUCUUUCUUUGGUUGUAACAUGGCUUUUGGAUAAGGUUAUAAAGAAUGGAUGAAAUGAUGCCCAAGAGACACUUGAAAUGGGGUAGGACUUACAACAUUUGGAAUCGACUCAAACAACGAGGAUUAACUCAUGCCCCAAUUUCUUUUGGCUGGGUGAUACUAAAUUAUUUAUUUGGGUUGGAAUGAGCCCAAAGUAGGGUAUCCUACGUAUCCACUCCCGAGAGAGGAGAAUCAGGUCACAUGUAGUCUCGAUAACUUAUUCCUUUGGUUGACUUUGAUUUCUUCUUUUUCUUUUUCUAUUGACUCUUUUUCUCUUUGAAACUUUUUCUGACUCUAUUUUUCUUGACACUCUUCUUUUUCUUUCUUUUUGGACACAUUUUUGUCUCUUUUUUUUAAAUUUUUUUCUUAUUUUAUUAUUUUGCUCGACACCUUUUCUUUUGAACCUUGCUGACUCUAUCUUGAUUCCAAAAGAGGGGUAUGAAAGAAAAUAGAACUAAAGCUCAAAUAGGGUAAGCAAAGGAUGACGCGAUGUUUGGAUAGCAGAAUGAAAUGCCUUCGUCAUAUCAAUCCUUAAAAAUUCAAGUAUAAAGCAUGCACUAUGAAAAUGAAAGAUGAAGAUAAUUGUGACAUUUUUUUAAGGCAAUAACUUUAAUUUAGCCUAUGCGUCACUACCUCUUCUGCGCUUGUUCAACAUACAACUCCACUUUUGCUAUAGAUUUCUCACAUUGAAUGACUCAAGCUUUUUUGGUGCCGAUUAUCUUCCUGUUUUUCUGGAUAUAGGGAUCACAUGACCAAAAUUUGACCUAAUUGAGCUAUACUUUCCAAUUGAUGACCAAGUUAUUCUUGUCAUUCUCAAAAUAAUUGCCUUAGUUUUGAAAGAAGGCUUCAAUAUGGCCACCAAAUGUCUUAACACGUUACCUAUUUCUCAGAUGUUUUUUUCUAACUUUAGCCUUCUGAUUCAAAGUUCAUGCUCAAAUUAGAUUUUAAGAUCUAGCUAAAAUUCUACCAGCAUGUCAUAUGACUAGAGACAACACAAAAAUGUACUAUGUAAAGGAAACAAACAACUUAAAAUAAGACAAAACAACAAGGGACACCACAUUUCAUUGAAAUAGAAGAUAAAAAGGUUUAAACAAAGACGACAGAGAAACAAAAAAAAUAGAUUUCGAACUACAACCCUAAAAUAAUUUGAAAAAUAGAAAGAAAAACAAAAUAAAUUACCAACAAUCCUUCCAGGUAAGGAGAAGAGUGAUUUCCCAAUUUCCAAGCUUGACAUCUUAGCCAUUGGUUUGCAUAUCAACACGAUUAGAGCUUUCCUUACUGUCAAUGUUCUUCACCAUAAUUGAUUUAUCUUGAAUUAUCUUUUUAAUUUCUCUUUUCAAAUCCUAACAAUCUUCAAUACUAUGACCUUGAGCAUCAAAAUGAUAUGCAUAUCGUACAUUAGGAUCAAAAUUUCUUGAACACGGAUUAAGAGUGUGCCUAAGGAGAGGAGUGAUCAUGUGCCAUUGUAUCAAUCUCUAAAAUAAACUGGCAUACAACUCUCCAAUUAGUGUAAAUUUAUCUUUCGGCUUUUUCCUUAUUUCAAUAUUUGGAUAAGAUAAAAAAAUUGGGCCUAGAAGGGCUUUGAUAUGUUUAUGGAGUUAGAGGAUGAAUCUGAGGAGUUGGUGUGAGCCAUUACGGGUAAGAUGGGGGUUCAACAUGUGGUUGUGCGUUAUAUACUGGAUAUGGAGGUGUGAAAAUAGAGUAUCACUCCCAAAAUCUGAUUGCACAACCACAUGUUCACCCUAGCAGCUUGUUCAAGCCAUCUGAUCGCAUACUCCUUGAAACUCUCAGUAUUUUUCUUCUUCAUACUGGUUAGGGAGUUUUCGUCAAGGAUCAAUUCCAUAUUAUAUUGAAAUUGUUGCAUAAAUUAAUCAGCUAAAUCAUCCCAACUAUUUCACCUAUUAGUAUCCUGAUCAACAAACCACUCUAAGGCUAGACUUGAAAGACUCUCACCAAAGUAAGUCAUGAGCAGUUCUUCUUUGCCUCCAGCAUCUCUAAAUUGUUUACAAUAACAUCUCAAAUGCGCCACCGGAUCCCCGUGUCCAUCAUACUUCUCAAACUUUAGAAUUUUAAAGCCGAGGGAAAGGUUGACACCUGGAAACAUGCAUAAAUCCUUGUAUGAGACACUUUUGUAGCCCCUAAGUCCUUGAAAGUUCUUCAUAGUCAGUUCUAAACUUUCCACCUUUUGGGUCAUAUCCUGUUGUUCUUCUGUCAUAACAGGCUUUUCAGUAUUAAGGAAAAAUUCAAGCGGUUGAGUGUAGCCAUAAGGACUAGUCAACUUAAAUGUGGGCUCAGGAGCAUAAUGUUGAUAACCAGAAAUAUUUAAUACAGGCUCUCUCACAGAGUGGUGAGAACAAUCGGUAGAUGAACAUCAAGAGUAGGAGCUUUAGGUGGUGGUGGAG
rnacentral:lncRNA from 1 species